GCAUUGGUGGUUCAGUGGUAGAAUUCUCGCCUGCCACGUGGGAGGCCCGGGGUUCAAUUCCCGGCCAAUGCA